rnacentral:rRNA from 1 species
AUGUACAUGCCUACAACAUAGCAUUAAUGCAACGGGUCCCAUUAGAACUUUGUUGUUAAGCGUGCUCAGGCUAGAGUAGUAUUGGGAUGGGUAACCGCCCAAGAAGUCCUAGUGUUUUACAUU